rnacentral:tRNA from 1 species
GGAGCUGUAGCUCAGUGGCAGAGCAUUUGCCUAGCAUGCAUGAGGCACUGGGUUUGGUCCUCAGCACCA